rnacentral:tRNA from 1 species
UUUUAUAUAGUUUAAAAAACAUUACACUUUCACUGUAAAAUUAGAUUCUUAUCUUAUAAAUA